CAAGUUAUCUUUAGGUGAAUAUUUCUUUUACAUGGAAUUUGUUAUUGUGCAAUUCAAUAUGACUUGA
rnacentral:tRNA from 1 species